rnacentral:rRNA from 1 species
AUUGAACGCUGGCGGCAGGCCUAACACAUGCAAGUCGAGCGGAUGAAGGGAGCUUGCUCCUGGAUUCAGCGGCGGACGGGUGAGUAAUGCCUAGGAAUCUGCCUGGUAGUGGGGGAAACGGUCCGGAAAGGGGGGUUAAUACCCCAUAGGUCCGGGGGGGGAAGUGGGGGGACUUUGGGACCCCAGCCAAUCGAUUAAGCCUAGGUCGGAUUAGCUAGUUGGUGGGGUAAAGGCCUACCAAGGCGACGAUCCGUAACUGGUCUGAGAGGAUGAUCAGUCACACUGGAACUGAGACACGGUCCAGACUCCUACGGGAGGCAGCAGUGGGGAAUAUUGGACAAUGGGCGAAAGCCUGAUCCAGCCAUGCCGCGUGUGUGAAGAAGGUCUUCGGAUUGUAAAGCACUUUAAGUUGGGAGGAAGGGCAGUAAGUUAAUACCUUGCUGUUUUGACGUUACCAACAGAAUAAGCACCGGCUAACUUCGUG